AGAGUUUGAUCCUGGCUCAGGACGAACGCUGGCGGCGUGCCUAAUGCAUGCAAGUCGCACGCUCUUGCUUCGGCAAGGGAGUGGCGAACGGCUGAGGAACACGUGCGAACCUAUCCUGCUGUGGGGGACAACCCGGCGAAAGCCGAGCUAAUCCCGCAUACGCUCGGUAACGAGGAAAGCUGGCAACAGCGCAGCAGAGUGGGCGCGCGGCCCAUCAGGUAGUUGGCGGGGUAACGGCCCACCAAGCCGAUGACGGGUCGCUGGUCUGUGAGGACGACCAGCCAGACUGGGACUGCGACACGGCCCAGACUCCUACGGGAGGCAGCAGCAAGGAAUUUUCGGCAAUGGGCGCAAGCCUGACCGAGCAACGCCGCGUGCAGGAUGACGGCCUUCGGGUUGUAAACUGCUUUUACGAGGGACGAUACAGACGGUACCUCGCGAACAAGCCCCGGCUAACUCUGUGCCAGCAGCCGCGGUAAUACAGAGGGGGCAAGCGUUGUCCGGACUUACUGGGCGUAAAGGGCACGUAGGUGGCACGACAAGACCGGUGUGAAAUCCCACGGCUUAACCGUGGGGCGCCACUGGUGACUGUCGCGCUGGAGCCUGGCAGAGGUGGGUGGAAUUGCCGGUGUAGUGGUGAAAUGCGUAGAGAUCGGCAGGAACACCAAGGGGGAACCCAGCCCACUGGGCCAGAGCUGACACUGAGGUGCGACAGCGUGGGGAGCGAACAGGAUUAGAUACCCUAGUAGUCC
rnacentral:rRNA from 1 species